rnacentral:lncRNA from 1 species
CGCCCUACACCAAAAUACCAUUAAAGGUGAUUAUUUUUACAGUCAUAGGCAGUGAGCUUUAGGGCCUAUAUCUCACUCGUUCCAAGUCGGAUCGCUCUCAAAUUUUGUGAGCAUGUUCAUCUCAUCAAGACGAGCAUUUCAAUAGAUGGUACACCUCGUGAUGAUGCCCAAGCAGGGAGAAAAAUUUGAGAGAAGUUGCUGAUCCGAGAAAAAAAUUGCAGAAAAAUCAGCAGCAGCAUGCCUCACUCGAGCGGCCAAAUCAUGGUGCCCACAUACAAGUUCGAUAUGAAACCAAUUGUCUUAUGUGCAUAAGGUCCGUGGCUAUCUUCGGUCUGAACCCUGCGUACGAUGAACGGUUGGAUUUCACACAAGGAGGUGUCGAAGUUGUUGUAAAUUCCUGCCGUCAAAUUUCAAGAUUCUGACCAAAAACUCAAGACAAUGAAAUCUUAAUCCGGACAUGAAAUCAAGGUGCGUUUCUUGUAAGGUGAUUUUGGUAGCAUGCUCAGUACGAUUCAGUGAAUAAAGAAAUAAAAAAAAACAUCAAGGAACGAGUGCACUAUCGAUCCGAAUCUUUCAAGAUUCACGUAAAAUUCAAGUCUCAAUAUCAUGGCUCAAAAAC